CCUACGGGGGGCACCAGUGGGGAAUAUUGCACAAUGGGCGCAAGCCUGAUGCAGCCAUGCCGCGUGUAUGAAGAAGGCCUUCGGGUUGUAAAGUACUUUCAGCGGGGAGGAAGGUGAUAAGGUUAAUAACCUUGUCGAUUGACGUUACCCGCAGAAGAAGCACCGGCUAACUCCGUGCCAGCAGCCGCGGUAAUACGGAGGGUGCAAGCGUUAAUCGGAAUUACUGGGCGUAGAGCGCACGCAGGCGGUCUGCCAAGUCGGAUGUGAAAUCCCCGGGCUCAACCUGGGGACUGCAUUCGAAACUGGCAGGCUAGAGUCUUGUAGAGGGGGGUAGAAUUCCAGGUGUAGCGGUGAAAUGCGUAGAGAUCUGGAGGAAUACCGGUGGCGAAGGCAGCCCCCUGGACAAAGACUGACGCUCAGGUGCGAAAGCGUGGGGAGCAAACAGGAUUAGAUACCCCAGUAGUC
rnacentral:rRNA from 1 species